GUACUUCAUACGUUGUCAAGUGUGUUGGUGGAACACGAAGUGUUCAUUCACCAGUGCUAGUUGUUGGUUACUUGAAACCAUAUAAAAGUACUCUCUUUAUUUCUCUUCUUUUUACAUGAGGAUACAUAUGUGAGUGUAGCAAAACAAAACAAGAAAAGCAAUAUUUUGAUUUUGACAGGAUAAAAAGAUUAAUUGAUUUCAUAAAACAAUUUUACAUUUGCUAAUGAAAUUCAGGAGAUCAUCUAUGAGUUGAAAAUCUUUGGCCAUGAGGACAUCCGUGGAAGAUAAUGUGAUUUUCAUCCUCGAUCACAUUGCAGGUCUCGCAUAAACUGGAGUUGGAAAUACCAACACGGUUUCAUGCUAGAGUUUUUAUACCAUGGUUGUUUGGGAGGAUUUGGGAAGAAGCGGAAGAAAUAAGAUCCUUUGUGCAGAGAAGUUUCUUUGAAACGUUCAACAAAAUCGUUCCAGAGAUUUGCUUCAAUCUUUUGGAUUGCAUCUGUGACCGAGAGUUCGUAUGGUAUAACACAUCCAGCUUCCGUAGCUUGUUUUGCAUAGAAAUCGGCAGUUUCAUUUAAGGAAAUUCCAACAUGUGAUGGAACCCAAAUAAAAGUCACUUUGCAUAUAGAUGA